rnacentral:telomerase_RNA from 1 species
UAGGGUCGGUCGCGCAGUAAUAUCUUGGCUCCGAAUUUAUGUUCUUGGUACAUUUCAGGAGUUCAAGCUAAUAACCCAAUAACCCUUACAGUUAAAUAAGGUUAUCUUGGUCAUUUGGGUCCUUCGUCUGCAAAGACAAAAAACCGGGAAAUGGCAGAUCUGCGCCCCUGAUACCGAUCUAAUUUU